GAUGAAGAACGCAGCGAAAUGCGAUAAGUAAUGUGAAUUGCAGAAUUCAGUGAAUCAUCGAAUCUUUGAACGCACAUUGCGCCCGCCAGUAUUCCGGCGGGCAUGCCUGUUCGAGCGUCAUUUCAACCAUCAAGCCCCCGGCUUGUGUUUGGGACCUGCGGCUGCCGCAGGCCCUGAAAACCAGUGGCGGGCUCGCUAGUCACUCCGAGCGUAGUAAUACAUCUCGCUCAGGGCGUGCUGCGGGUUCCGGCCGUUAAAAAGCCUUAUUUACCCAAGGUUGACCUCGGAUCAGGUAGGAAGACCCGCUGAACUUAAGCAAAUCAAUAAGCGGAGGA
rnacentral:misc_RNA from 1 species